rnacentral:rRNA from 1 species
CCUACGGGAGGCAGCAGUGGGGAAUAUUGGGCAAUGGGCGCAAGCCUGACCCAGCAACGCCGCGUGAAGGAAGAAGGCUUUCGGGUUGUAAACUUCUUUUCUGGGGGACGAACAAAUGACGGUACACCAGGAAUAAGCCACGGAUAACUACGUGCCAGCAGCCGCGGUAAGACGUAGGGGGCAAGCGUGAUACGGAUUUAUUGGGUGUAAAGGGCGUGUAGGCGGGAAUGAAAGUCAGAUGUGAAAACUAUGGGCUCAACCCAUAGCCUGCAUUUGAAACUGUAUUUCUUGAGUGCUGGAGAGGCAAUCGGAAUUCCGUGUGUAGCGGUGAAAUGCGUAGAUAUCAGGAGGAACACCGGUGGCGAAGGCGGCCUGCUGGACUGCAACUGACGUUGAGGCCCGAAAGCGUGGGGAGCAAACAGGAUUAGAUACCCCGGUAGUC